UUUCUAACAAAGAAAAAAACAUUUCUAGUUUUUUACCAACUGCGGUGGCUUAUAUUUAUAUAUAUAUAUUUAUAUGUGUUUCUGUUUAAGGUCAAGAUCGAGAAGUGGAGACCGAUACAGAGAUGGCGGUAGUUCGUCUUCACAUCGUUCACGACGCCAUCGCUCCUCUCGUUCCAGAGAAGAAGGAGGCGAACGGGAGCGCGACAGAGACAGAAAGCACAGACAUAAGGACGGACAUCGCUCACGCUCACACUCUCACCGACACAAAAGGAAGAGAUCCUCUAGAGAUCGAUCAUCUCACACCCGCGACAGGGAGCACUCGCCCUCCCAGGAGAGAUGGGCAGGAGGUGCAGCAGAGGAACUUCGUAACAACAGGGCUGAGAGUGGCGAGUGGGAGGACAAGGAGAAGUCCACGUCCCCCGACAUGUCCAGAGUCCAGGUCCUGGAGCAAUGCAAAUCUCAGUCGUUGGAGCGGGACCAGCGCUCCAGCUCUGAGGAGCGAGAGUCUGGGGAGAUAUGAACAAGAAGAACCUCCAAAGUCUCUGAUUUUGAUGUAUUUGGUUUAGAGAAUGAGCAUGGAGAUGUAAGAGUGUGUGUAUGUGUGAGGUUUUUCUUUUUGAAGCAGGAUGUGUACAUUCAACGGGGCGAGCGGUGUGAAGGUGAAGAGCUACAGCGGUGAUGGUCAAAAUCAUGCAUACAAACUUUUGUGCAAUUAUGCGAUUCUACAACUUACUGAGAGCAGCAUGGUCUCGUUUUUUAAAUGACAUUUAUUUCCCCUUCAUGUGCAGUUUUUCAUUACAAUGAGUGAAUGAUGCCAGAGCAACACAACAUGGACUCUGCUUUUAUAUUGUUUUCUGAGCAUGGAUAUUUUUAUCCUUUAUCUCUUCAGUCCAAAGAGGGAUGUACUCUUGUUUUUUAUUAUUUACACCGGUUAUCAGUGUGGAACAACUUGCUUUAAAAAUCGUACUAGCUGUCAAUGACUGGAUUCAUCUCAAAAUCUGAUUACAAAUGUGUUGCAGUUAAAUUUGCGAUAAAGAUCCUGAUACUGGUGAUUAAGUUUUGCCGGCUGCUGCUCCAGCAGGAAGACGUAUAUGGUGGGAAGUUUGUCGCUGUGCUGUCUUUAAAUGAA
rnacentral:lncRNA from 1 species